CCCGCUGAACUUAAGCAUAUCAAUAAGCGCAGGAAAAGAAACCAACAGGGAUUGCCUCAGUAACGGCGAGUGAAGCGGCAACAGCUCAAAUUUGAAAUCUGGCCUCUUGGGGUCCGAGUUGUAAUUUGUAGAGGAUGUUUUGGGUACCGCCCCGGUUUAAAUUUCUUGGAACAGAAUGUCAAAGAGGGUGAGAAUCCCGUCUUGGACCGGCGGUAGGGCCUGUGUAAAACUCCUUCGACGAGUCGAGUUGUUUGGGAAUGCAGCUCAAAAUGGGUGGUAAAUUUCAUCUAAAGCUAAAUAUUGGCCAGAGACCGAUAGCGCACAAGUAGAGUGAUCGAAAGAUGAAAAGCACUUUGAAAAGAGAGUUAAACAGUAUGUGAAAUUGUUGAAAGGGAAGCGCUUGCAACCAGACUUGAGCUCGGCGGUUCCCCCAGCCUUUUGGCUGGGCUAUUCCGUCGUGUCCAGGCCAACAUCGGUUCUGAGGGUCGGUCAAAGGCUCUGGGAAUGUAUCUACCCACGGGUAGACUUAUAGACCAGGGUGUCAUGCGGCCUCUCGGGACCGAGGAACGCGCUUCGGCUCGGAUGUUGGCGUAAUGGUUGUCAGCGACCCGUCUUGAAACACGG
rnacentral:rRNA from 1 species